rnacentral:pre_miRNA from 17 species
AUCACAGUCCCAACACUGUGCUCUAGUGUGUGUAAACAUCCUACACUCUCAGCUGUGGUCUGACUGAGCUGGGAGAGGGAUGUUUGCUCAUUCUGACACAGACUGAGCAGCAACAAGUCA